GACCCUCAGACCCACAGUAGGGGAUUCUUAGGUUCACUCACUCAUUCCUUCCUUUACUCAUUCACGUUACACACUGUGUUCAUUGUCUACUAAAUGACACAGUAAGUUCACAGUGAA